rnacentral:rRNA from 1 species
GACAGAGGGGGCAAGCGUUGCUCGGAAUUACUGGGCGUAAAGGGCGCGUAGGCGGGAUGGCAAGUCGGUCGUGAAAUCCCUCGGCUCAACCGAGGAACGUCGAUCGAUACUGCUGUUCUUGAGGAUUGCAGAGGAGACUGGAAUUCCCGGUGUAGCGGUGAAAUGUGUAGAGAUCGGGAGGAACACCGGUGGCGAAGGCGGGCCUCUGGGCAAUUCCUGACGCUGAGGCGCGAAAGCGUGGGGAGCAAACGGG